ACCAUUGGCGCCGGGCUACCAUGCAAGUCGAGCGGCAGCGGAAGUAGCUUGCUACUUUGCCGGCGAGCGGCGGACGGGUGAGUAAUGUCUGGGAAACUGCCUGAUGGAGGGGGAUAACUACUGGAAACGGUAGCUAAUACCGCAUAACGUCGCAAGACCAAAGAGGGGGACCUUCGGGCCUCUUGCCAUCAGAUGUGCCCAGAUGGGAUUAGCUAGUAGGUGGGGUAACGGCUCACCUAGGCGACGAUCCCUAGCUGGUCUGAGAGGAUGACCAGCCACACUGGAACUGAGACACGGUCCAGACUCCUACGGGAGGCAGCAGUGGGGAAUAUUGCACAAUGGGCGCAAGCCUGAUGCAGCCAUGCCGCGUGUAUGAAGAAGGCCUUCGGGUUGUAAAGUACUUUCAGCGGGGAGGAAGGCGUUGAGGUUAAUAACCUCAGCGAUUGACGUUACCCGCAGAAGAAGCACCGGCUAACUCCGUGCCAGCAGCCGCGGUAAUACGGAGGGUGCAAGCGUUAAUCGGAAUUACUGGGCGUAAAGCGCACGCAGGCGGUCUGUCAAGUCGGAUGUGAAAUCCCCGGGCUCAACCUGGGAACUGCAUUCGAAACUGGCAGGCUAGAGUCUUGUAGAGGGGGGUAGAAUUCCAGGUGUAGCGGUGAAAUGCGUAGAGAUCUGGAGGAAUACCGGUGGCGAAGGCGGCCCCCUGGACAAAGACUGACGCUCAGGUGCGAAAGCGUGGGGAGCAAACAGGGAUUAGAUACCCUGGUAGUCCACGCCGUAACGAUGUCGACUUGGAGGUUGUGCCCUUGAGGCGUGGCUUCCGGAGCUAACGCGUUAAGUCGACCGCCUGGGGAGUACGGCCGCAAGGUUAAAACUCAAUGAAUUGACGGGGGGCCCGCACAAGCGGUGGAGCAUGUGGUUUAAUUCGAUGCAACGCGAGGACCCUUACCUACUCUUGACAUCCAGAGAACUUACCAGAGAUGCUUUGGGUGCCUUCGGGAACUCUGAAACAGGUGCUGCAUGGCUGUCGUCAGCUCGUGUUGUGAAAUGUGGGUUAAGUCCCGCAACGAGCGCAACCCAUAUCCUUUGUGGCCAGCGGUAGGCGGUACUCAAGGAGACCUGCCAGGUGAUAACUGGAGGAGUGGGAUGACGUCAGUCAUCAUGGCCGUACCGAGUUAGGACGUAACAAUGGUGUACUUCUACA
rnacentral:rRNA from 1 species